UACGGAGGGGGCUAGCGUUGUCCGAAGUUACUGGGCGUAAAGCGCGCGUAGGCGGGUUGGUAAGUCCGCUGUGAAAGCCCGGAGCUUAACUCCGGAGGGUCGGUGGAUACUGCCAGUCUUGAAGGUGCUAGGGGGAGAUGGAAUUACCGGUGUAGCGGUGAAAUGCGUAGAUAUCGGUAGGAACACCAGUGGCGAAGGCGGUCUCCUGGGGCAUUCUUGACGCUGAGGCGCGAAAGCGUGGGGAGCGAACAGG
rnacentral:rRNA from 1 species